rnacentral:misc_RNA from 1 species
UCAAUGGAAGCAAUGUCUGGC